rnacentral:lncRNA from 1 species
GAUCAUCUUCUAACCACCCCGGAUAAAGCGGUGCAUGCCCCACCUGGUACCUGUCUGGCUCCAUAGAUUUCUUUUCCAAAAUGAUUUUGGAGUGCCACAUAUGCUAAGCCCGACACCAGUGUGGGCUAUCGUCAUCCUGGAAAAUAGCCCUGUAGUGGCUCAUCUUUUCCACCCUUGGUAUAAUUUGCUUCCUUCCUGCUUGCCUCAUGACUCAGAGAGGGACAUAAGGGUAAGUUCCUCUUAAGCCGAUAAGUACAAGGAAUGGUGCAUCCCUAGACCAAAUGAUAAACUCUCUAGUUGGAAACCACUCGCACAUCCAUUGUACCUGCUCUUCUCUCAGAUUCACUAAUAGUUCCACCCAUCCAC